AACGCACAUUGCGCCCCUUGGUAUUCCGGGGGGCAUGCCUGUUCGAGCGUCAUUUCAACCCUCAAGCUCAGCUUGGUCUUGGGCCCUGCCGGUAACGGCUGGCCUUAAAAUCAGUGGCGGUACUAUCGAGCUCUACGCGUAGUAAUUAACCCUCGCGAUUGAGUCUCGGUGGACGCUGGCCAGCAACCCCCAAUUUUCUAUGGUUGACCUCGGAUCAGGUAGGGAUACCCGCUGAACUUAA
rnacentral:misc_RNA from 1 species